UACGUAGGGUGCAAGCGUUAAUCGGAAUUACUGGGCGUAAAGCGUGCGCAGGCGGUUAUGUAAGUCAGGUGUGAAAUCCCCGGGCUUAACCUGGGAACUGCAUUUGUGACUGCAUCGCUGGAGUGCGGCAGAGGGGGAUGGAAUUCCGCGUGUAGCAGUGAAAUGCGUAGAUAUGCGGAGGAACACCGAUGGCGAAGGCAAUCCCCUGGGCCUGCACUGACGCUCAUGCCCGAAAGCGUGGGGAGCAAACAGG
rnacentral:rRNA from 1 species